rnacentral:rRNA from 1 species
GAUGAACGCUGGCGGCGUGCUUAACACAUGCAAGUCGAGCGAAGCACUUAUCAUUGACUCUUCGGAAGAUUUGAUAUUUGACUGAGCGGCGGACGGGUGAGUAACGCGUGGGUAACCUGCCUCAUACAGGGGAAUAACAGUUAGAAAUGGCUGCUAAUGCCGCAUAAGCGCACAGGACCGCAUGGUCCGGUGUGAAAAACUGAGGUGGUAUGAGAUGGACCCGCGUCUGAUUAGGUAGUUGGUGGGGUAACGGCCUACCAAGCCGACGAUCAGUAGCCGGCCUGAGAGGGUGAACGGCCACAUUGGGACUGAGACACGGCCCAGACUCCUACGGGAGGCAGCAGUGGGGAAUAUUGCACAAUGGGGGAAACCCUGAUGCAGCGACGCCGCGUGAAGGAAGAAGUAUCUCGGUAUGUAAACUUCUAUCAGCAGGGAAGAAAAUGACGGUACCUGA